rnacentral:rRNA from 1 species
AUUGAACGCUGGCGGCAGGCCUAACACAUGCAAGUCGAGCGGAUGAAGGGAGCUUGCUCCUGGAUUCAGCUGCGGACGGGUGAGUAAUGCCUAGGAAUCUGCCUGGUAGUGGGGGAUAACGUCCGGAAACGGGCGCUAAUACCGCAUACGUCCUGAGUGAGAAAGUGGGGGAUCUUCGGACCUCACGCUAUCAGAUGAGCCUAGGUCGGAUUAGCUAGUUGGUGGGGUAAAGGCCUACCAAGGCGACGAUCCGUAACUGGUCUGAGAGGAUGAUCAGUCACACUGGAACUGAGACACGGUCCAGACUCCUACGGGAGGCAGCAGUGGGGAAUAUUGGACAAUGGGCGAAAGCCUGAUCCAGCCAUGCCGCGUGUGUGAAGAAGGUCUUCGGAUUGCAAAGCACUUUAAGUUGGGAGGAAGGGCAGUAAGUUAAUACCUUGCUGUUUUGACGUUACCAACAGAAUAAGCACCGGCUAACUUCGUG